GCUAUUUCUUGCUGAAACUGAAGUUUAACUGAAAAGUUAAGGCAUCAUCUUAGCAUCAGAGAGAUAAGAAAAAAAAAUACACAGGUUGCACUUGCUCCUUUGGUGGAACUCAAGGGUGGAUUUGAACAAAAAGAAAAAGAAAACUUGCAGUCUCUGUGAACACACCCUGAAGUGUCUGGCAGACAGAUGCAUAGAGCCUGUGGAUCAGGGCUCCCAGUCUUGGCAGAAGACUUGCAGGCAGAAUGUCUUGUGGAUGUGCAGACUCUGCACAAUGUCACACUGGCUAAGCAAGCCUAUUGCAUGAAGGCAGUUGGUGCCUAUUCCUGGUAAAGGAGGUAUUCCUCAGGAUUGAGUGUUUUUGGGAAACACAAUUCAGUUUUGAAAUCCUCAUUUAACUCUAAACUUCAUCUUAGAGUUAUUUAAAAUCUAAAAUACUAUAUGGAAAUAUGUUUGGUUUUUUUUAAAUAUAUAUAUGAUUAACCCACCUGUCUAGCAAGUCCUAGAGGUGGAAAU